UACAGAGGUGGCAAACGUUGUCCGGAAUUACUGGGUGUAAAGGGUCCGCAGGCGGCCUUGUAAGUCAAUGGUGAAAUGUCCCGGCUCAACCGGGUCACUGCCGUUGAAACUGCAGGGCUUGAGUACGAUAGAGGAGAGUGGAAUUCCCAGUGUAGCGGUGAAAUGCGUAGAUAUUGGGAGGAACACCAGUGGCGAAGGCGGCUCUCUGGAUCGAUACUGACGCUCAGGGACGAAAGCUAGGGGAGCAAAC
rnacentral:rRNA from 1 species